UGUGUGUGAGUGUGUGUGUGUGAGUGUGUGUGUGUGUGUGUGUGUGUGUGUGUGUGUGUGUGUGUGUGUGUGUGUGUGUGUGUGUGUGUGUGUGUGUGUGUGUGUGUGUGUAUAUAAUGUACCUGUGAUCUAAUGUUCUCUUGUUCUUUCCUUCCCCAUGUAAAGAUUGCAAGAUUGAGAUUGAACUCUGAGAAUGUGUGGUGUUUAUAAGGAGAUCCUAGCAGUCUUUGGAUACCUCUAAAGUUUUGCAGCCAACAAUAUACUUCAGCAGCGUAAUCAUUGUGGAACUGUCCAUCAUCUGGUGCACAGCAAGAUUUCACUAACAGUGAAGCAAUAACAACAAGGAACCAGCAAUGUUCAGUGAAGUGUAAUUAUUGCUCGGGACACUAUGAGAAACUCUCUUCUUCUUCAAAUUAGCUGUGGGAUCCAUCAUGUCCACCUAACAGGCAGUCCAGGCAUUGAUUUCACGUCUCAUCUGAAAGAUGGGAUCCACAUUAGUGCAGCCUGCCCCCAACCUUGGGAACGUCAAUCAUGAUUGUGCACUGAAAUCUCUGGAGCAGUGCUUGAACUUACUGAAUGAGAAGCAAAGCCCUACCAGAGAAGUUACAGCUGGCAGCAAAUUGUGCAAAUUCCCUGAAGAACGGUCUCGGCCCAAGAUGUUGACCGUUUAUUCAUUUCCAUAGAUGCUGCCUGACCUGCUGAGUUCCUCCAGCAUUUUGUGUGUGUUGCAGGAGUACGUGUUGACUGUGAAUGCAAGAAUUAAAAGUUUUGCAGGUUCUGCAGCUUUUUGAUCUUAACUGGCCCAUCGAGUCUGCUCUGCCAUGUGGAUCGUUUUUUCCUAUCUCCUCCUCAACCCCAGUUCCCGGCCUUCUCCCCGUAACCUUUGAUGCCAUGUCCAAUCAGGAACCUGUCAAUCUCAACACCCCACAAGUAGAUUCUUACAAAGGAUAGAUGGCAGUUUGUGAGUUCAUGUCAUCCAGAAGUCUGAUCACUAUGUUACUUGAAGAUCCUUUAGCACUCAAAGAGUGUCUCGGCAAACUUGGGGAUUGAGGUCACAGAGAUCUAUUAACAUAAUGAAUUUGCUCUAAUCUUUGUAUUUCAAACUUAGUGCUAAAUUAAAAACAAAA